rnacentral:lncRNA from 1 species
GCCAUCCAGCGCUCUAGCCAGCUCCAACCGAUGUUUGAUUCAUCUUCACUGUUGCGUUCUACUUGCUUCUUCUUUGUGCAUAUCCUUAGCUUUAUAAACAAAAUGCCCUUUAAUAUUUGAGCAAAAACAUGUUGUUCCUUUAGGUUUCAAUCAGAGAUCAUCAAUUUGUUUCAGUAGUACCUGCUGUGAAAAUGCGUAAGCAAGUGCUCUCUCCCGUUUUGUCAUUGCUUCAAUUCUGCUUUGAAUCCUCGACUUUGAUAUGGUGCUGCUCACUGUGCUAUCAUCCCACUCUUCCUGUUGUUAUGAUGUCAUCAUGUAAUGUUAUUCUUCUCUCUCUUUUUUUUUUUUUUAAAUUGGUUGGUUCGUUGGUUGCUUACCUUUAUCCUCAGAACUUGAGUGUUGUUCUUGUGUAAUGUUCUUACUCGUUUUCUUCUAAGGAAAGGUGCUUUCACGGAACUACAUGUCUGAACUUCUAGUGAUGUCCC